rnacentral:lncRNA from 1 species
UUGGGAAGUCUAUUUGGUAUUAGGCCCAGACUAUCAGCAUUUCUUUAUCAACUGGAUAGGAAUAGCAAAACAUGUUGCCUAGACGAUGGUUUCACACUUACUCUUAUAUAUCUUUGUAAGGUCUUUUUGUGAAUAAUUAAUAAAAUGAUUGCAUGUAUCGUUCAGAUAUAAAGGCCACAUGUCUUGUGCUUUUAAAAAAAUUGUUGGGAUAGCCGCCACCCAUGACAUAGAAGUAGAUAGAG